rnacentral:rRNA from 1 species
ACGAACGCUGGCGGCGUGCCUAAUACAUGCAAGUCGAGCGGAAUGAUGAAGAAGCUUGCUUCUUCUGAUUUUAGCGGCGGACGGGUGAGUAACACGUGGGCAACCUACCUUGUAGAUUGGGAUAACUCCGGGAAACCGGGGCUAAUACCGAAUAAUCCAUUUUGCUUCAUGGCGAGAUGUUGAAAGACGGUUUCGGCUGUCACUACAAGAUGGGCCCGCGGCGCAUUAGCUAGUUGGUAGGGUAAUGGCCUACCAAGGCGACGAUGCGUAGCCGACCUGAGAGGGUGAUCGGCCACACUGGGACUGAGACACGGCCCAGACUCCUACGGGAGGCAGCAGUAGGGAAUCUUCCACAAUGGCGAAAGUCUGAUGGAGCAACGCCGCGUGAGUGAAGAAGGUUUUCGGAUCGUAAAACUCUGUUGUAAGGGAAGAACACGUACGAGAGUAACUGCUCGUACCUUGACGGUACCUUAUUAGAAAGCCACGGCUAACUACGUG